GUUGUUUAUGUAAGAAUUUCAAGGCCACAACUCCAUAUUUGAAGUAAAGUGCUCAUAAAAUUAAUUGCAAGGUUUUGAGAAGCCAUCUGCAGCUCACAACUAGAUGAGUGACACAAUCAGAUGUGCGUAUGCAAAAAAAAGCCUGGAGACAUUGAACUAAGAUCAAAUUUAAUGUAUUAAAUAUGGUAGAAAGAAGAGAGAAUGAAAAAUAAUGUUAACAAUCUAGGUGAGGAAUUGCUGAGGAGACAAAUUAAGUAAAUCCUGUGGAAGGAAAGAAGAAAGGAGGAAAGAGGAUUGGAUGGAAGAAUCUCCACUUCUCAUAGGUGUAGUCCUUCCUUAGCCUGCUUUUUAAUGAGUGCUGCUAAAGCCCUUAGCCUGCCUGUUUACCCUUGGAGUGGAGCAAUGAACUGAAGAUAUUUGAGUGAGUUCAAGAGAGACUCAGAAGAGAAGAAUUGGAGGCAGCAAACAUAGACAGCACUUUUAAUGCUUUUCUCAUAUGCUGUAAGACAUGAAAGCAAUCUAUUGGGAUGAAAGCUGAAAGGAGAAGCGGGACAAGAGAAGUGAAUCCGUGGAAGACCCCCAAAAGAGGCUGCAGAUUCUUAGUGGACAGCUCUCAUAUCCCCUCCAGGGAAAAUGAUGAAAAAUGUCUUCAGAAAAAUAGCUUUAUGAAGGCAAGAGGACUUUUUGCACCUGCAAGACAUGUCUGAAAGCUUCCAUCAGAUUCUUGUAAGUACCUCACUUGGCACAAGGUAGACAUGACGUUCAAGGAAGUCAACUGCGUUGCCCAAGAGUAAGAGAAGGAAUCUCUGAAGAAGAGCAACUUUUCAGACAGGUAGAGUGUGCCUUGCUCCCAAGGAAAAGAGUUCUUGAAAAAAACAAAUGGGAAACAUGGCUACAAGAAAACUGGGAAGACUGCAAGAAAAUCUCAGAAUCUGCUUGAGAAUCCGGUCCUUCUUCCUCCAUACACCCAUGGAACACUCCCAAACUCUGUAUGCUGCUCACUAAUUCUGAUUAAGGUCUUCACCCUCCCUACCUUGGAAAUUGCUACAACAUAAUUGUGUUUAAUUUGAACAUUUCAUUUCAGGGUUUGGGGGAUCCUUACCAAGUUGAAAAUUUUAACAGAAUUCUUAGAAGACUAAUUCGAGUUGAAACCCUCUGGUUAGUGGAUAAUUCACUGGUGGACUUAAGUGCCAUAAGAUUGCCAAGAGUAUUCUCCUGUUUGCCAAACUUAAAAAUGCUGGAUGGAAUCUUGAAGCUACCAGAAGAUUGCUUAUCACCAGAAACCAAUAUUUUUUCAAAAAUAUGCCUUGUAUCCUAAUGCAGUCUGUAUAGAAAGAAAGCAAUCAUCAUUGUUGCUAAAAGCUAAUAAACACAGGACAUGCAUGAUUAAA
ensembl:lncRNA LRRC77P leucine rich repeat containing 77, pseudogene